rnacentral:rRNA from 1 species
GAUGAACGCUGGCGGCGUGCCUAAUACGUGCAAGUCGAGCGAACCACUUCGGUGGUGAGCGGCGAACGGGUGAGUAACACGUAGGUGAUCUGCCCAUCAGACGGGGACAACGAUUGGAAACGAUCGCUAAUACCGGAUAGGACGAAAGUUUAAAGGUGCUUCUGGCACCGCUGAUGGAUGAGCUCGCGGCGCAUUAGCUAGUUGGUAGGGUAAAGGCCUACCAAGGCGACGAUGCGUAGCCGACCUGAGAGGGUGAACGGCCACACUGGGACUGAGACACGGCCCAGACUCCUACGGGAGGCAGCAGUAGGGAAUCUUCGGCAAUGGGGGGAACCCUGAACGAGCAAUGCCGCGUGAGUGAGGAAGGUCUUCGGAUCGUAAAGCUCUGUUGUAAGAGAAAAACGACAUUCAUAGGGAAUGAUGAGUGAGUGAUGGUAUCUUACCAGAAAGUCACGGCUAACUACGUGCCAGCAGCCGCCGUAAGAC